rnacentral:rRNA from 1 species
GACGAACGCUGGCGGCGCGCCUAACACAUGCAAGUCGAACGAGCGAGAGAGAGCUUGCUUUCUCGAGCGAGUGGCGAACGGGUGAGUAACGCGUGAGGAACCUGCCUCAAAGAGGGGGACAACAGUUGGAAACGACUGCUAAUACCGCAUAAGCCCACGACCCGGCAUCGGGUUGAGGGAAAAGGAGCAAUCCGCUUUGAGAUGGCCUCGCGUCCGAUUAGCUAGCUGGUGAGGUAACGGCUCACCAAGGCAUCGAUGGAUAGGGGAGCUGAGAGGCUUAUCCCCCACAUUGGGACUGAGACACGGCCCAA